rnacentral:rRNA from 1 species
UCGAUAGGCCGGGUGUGGAAGCGCAGCAAUGCGUGCAGCUUACCGGUACUAAUAGCUCAUCAGGCUUGAUUGA